CUCCUACGGGAGGCAGCAGGAGCGAAAAUUGCCCAAUCCCGACACGGGAAGGCAGUGACGAGAAAUAACAACUCUUGGUUAUUCUAAGAAGUGUAAUGAGGAUAAUUUAAAACCCUUACCGAAAGCAAUUGGAGGGCAAGUCUGGUGCCAGCAGCCGCGGUAAUA
rnacentral:rRNA from 1 species